GUAGCCAACAAAGCUGUUAGUUAGUUAGUCUUCGCUCUGCAUUGGUGGAUGUGGUAGAAGUAGUCAGUAGAGACUCAAGCCACUCCAUUGUCGUCUUGUGUGUCAACAGUUCUAUAGAACUAGUAGAGAUCAAGCUAUAUAGAUCGCUGAUUACAGAUCGCUGAUUACAGAUUGCUGAUAUUACUGUAAGCUGAUGAAAACUAUGAAGGCUGUUAACCUAGUAGUGCUGUUGUGUAUUUUGGCUUCAGUGACUCUGACUGUUAACUCAGCGCCUGUGGAUCCGACCCAAGCUCCUGUCAAGAAGCAGGUCACAGUGCCAGAUUGUGCGACCCUUAUAAAUGAAAAGAAGUUAUGUCCCCGAUAUUGUGGUUGCCUUGACUCCUGGAACAGGUGAUAAGUUUCACCGGUAUACAGAAUCUUCUGUGCCAAGAAUCAUCACUCUACAGACAUGUGUGAUAACUGCAUUUGUUUCUUAUGCUCAUAACACCUACAUUCAAUUUUCAUGUCUUCCAUUGAUAAAUUCAUUUUCUUUAUUCGCGUAGAUUGCAGAUUUUCAAUAAUGGCGGGAAAACUAUAACCAGCUUUUUGGUGUAUCCGGUAUAACAAAUACAGGAAGUGUUGAUAAACUGUUGUUUUUUAAGUUAUAGGAACAUUUUUUUUUGGUACUUUUUGGCACUGCCGAAUCAAACUUCAAAAUGGUUGCAAUUUGUAGCACAAAGUGAUUUGAUAUAAAGGAAAUAUUAGACUCUCACUCUAUGACCUGAAGCUUUAAUUGAAAAGAAAUCGGCAUUUAACAAGAAGUAAUAUUAUUGGGAUAGAGUUAAAAUUAAAGCUAAAUUAUUUUUUUUUAGUUGGCAGCAGUGCCGUUUAAUUAAGCGUCCUUGAUAUUGUGAAAAUCUCCACUAUACUUCAUUGCGAGCCGUUAGCGUAUGGUAAAAACAUCACUAAAAACCAGAGAUAUUUUUGUAAAAUCUUAAACGAAGAUUUGAACUUUUUUUUUAAAUUCUUUAUUUUGAGCUGGUCAUAUGAUAAAUUGAUAGAAAUUACCUUCUUUGUAGAAUAUAAUAAUAGACCUAAAUUUUUAUAAAGUGAUAUAAUUUAUGCUAGGGCGCUAUGAAAAAACCAAACCAAAUAGACUUGCAGUGACAAUCUUAAUCACUUAAAUUCAGUUGCCACCUUAAAUAAGUUUAAGUCCAAAACAAAGACUAUUCACUUUUAUUUUUUGUAUUUACAUAAUUGUUCUCUUUUAUAUUGUGUAAACUAUUGUCUGAAUUUUUGUGUUAGUCUUGUCCAUGUACUCUUGAGAUUACUAAUGUAUAAUCAAUAAAAAUCAAUUAAUGAAU